ACCUAUUCUCGAACUCCGAACGGGCAAGGAGCCGGGGUCGCCCGAUCGGACCCCGGACGUGAAGUCGACGAUGGUCGGUGGGCUGGUUUUGGUAAGCAGAACGGGCGAUUCGGGAUGAACCGGAAGCGGGGAGAAAGGGCCCGAGAUUGCGUCGACGCGGAUCCCGAAAAGGGCGUCGAUCCGUCGCGACAGCGGGACGGUGGUCAUGGAAGUCGAAAUCCGCUAAGAAGCGUGUAAAAACGUACCCGCCCAACGGAUCGGCCCCGAAAAUUGAUGGCGCUCGAACGCAACCCUCGAACCCCGCCGACGGAGGCUAGGGGAGGCCCCGUCGAGUAGGCGGACGCGCGGGUCGCUUCGACGCUCCCGCGCGAGCGGGGGCGGAGCGGCCCGUGGUGCAGAUCUUGGUGGUAGUAGCGAUCACCCAG
rnacentral:rRNA from 1 species